GAUGAACGCUGGCGGCGUGCCUAAUACAUGCAAGUAGAACGCUGAAGGAGGAGCUUGCUCUUCUGGAUGAGUUGCGAACGGGUGAGUAACGCGUAGGUAACCUGCCUGGUAGCGUGGGAUAACUAUUGGAAACGAUAGCUAAUACCGCAUGACAACAGUUAUUGCAUGAUAACUGUUUAAAAGUGGCAACUGCUCCACUACCAGAUGGACCUGCGUUGUAUUAGCUAGUUGGUGAGGUAACGGCCCACCAAGGCGACGAUACAUAGCCGACCUGAGAGGGUGGUCGGCCAACCUGGGACUGGGACACGGCCCAGGAUCCUACGGGAGGCAGCAGUAGGGGAUCUUCGGCAAUGGACGGAAGUCUGACCGAGCAACGCCGCGUGAGUGAAGAAGGUUUUCGGAUCGUAAAGCUCUGUUGUAAGAGAAGAACGAGUGGGAGAGUGGAAAGUUCACACUGUGACGGUAUCUUACCAGAAAGCGACGGCUAACUACGUG
rnacentral:rRNA from 1 species